CCUUCGAUAGCUCAGUUGGUAGAGCGGAGGACUGUAGAUCCUUAGGUCGCUGGUUCAAAUCCGGCUCGAAGAA
rnacentral:tRNA from 1 species